GGCAGGGAGCCGAUGGGAUGGACGCCAUGGUUACAGUGAACAGCCUUGCUCUGCAAAGCCUGGCUACAGCAGGAACGACGCCUGCAGCUGAUCUUUAUCAGGGCUCGCUUGGGAUCAAGAAUACCAGAUAGAGAUUACAGUGAUGCAACAUGUCGAUGGAGGUUCCUCCUUAAUCUGUGGACUGGAGUCAGUUCGAUCGGUCUUCAGAUAGCACCCACGGCACCACUGUAACCAUGACAACAAGUGAACACUACAUCAGCUGCCUGAUGAUGAUCUCAUGACUGUGAUCCUACUACAAAUCCACCGCUGGGGACCACGAGUAUUUGAAGGAUUUCAUCCGUACUGCGCUCUCCAAGUGUUUUUCUUUAUAUUGAUGAUCUUAUCUUCCUUCUCGAAGUUGAUUCUUUAGUGCAGUUACUACUCUGAUGUGUUUCUAUUUUUUAUUUUUUUUGCCUAGUUGUCUACCCUAACAUUAAAAAUAUUUGGAACAUUUUAGCCCGUUAAUUGGACAAAACAAGCAACCUUUGGGAAAGCAGAAGGAGUAUUUUUUUUGCCACACUUUAUAGAACAAAUACAACAUAGAGAACUUAAUCUCCAGAAGAAAUGAUAAAACAGACUAGGUUUUAAUUUCUUUUAAAAGAGCCCAGUGUUGCUCAUCUCUGUAGGUCACACUGUGUAGUCUUUUAGAAAUGACUGGACUUACAUAGCAUCACGAGAGAGAAACUACAACAAAUCCACCGCUGUGGACCACAAAUUUUUAAAAAGUCAUUCAACGACUGAGCAGCCUUGGCAGAGUACUUGCUUUUCUUGUUACUGAUUUGUUUUUAAACAGAUUUCAACUAAAUAAAUGAAUGUAAAAAUGUGUAAUUUGGCAUUACUUUGAUUCUCUAGAUGUAGAUCAUGGGUAUAAGCCUGCCACUGACUGUGCAUUUUACACAGCUUUCUCCUCCCCUUCCCAUAGCUACGUGUCACUGAACACCACCAGUGUGUCCUGUUCUUAACCUCGCCCAAAACAAUCAUGAUUGCUUUGAGGAAAUUCCAACACUUUUUAUCUUCUAUGGCAGAAUGAUAGUGAGUUGUAGUCAGACCAUUCUAUACAACGGUUCAGAAGCAGCCACCUUAGUUUGUAGUCAACUCUGUGAUCUUGAGUGAGGUCCUGCCCACAGCACUAAAUAGCUAUGCAUCACAAUAAAUACCCUAUCAACACUGAACAACAGAUGAUGAAACAAAGAUAUUUAAACAAAGUUUUAAUCUAAAGUUUGUGUGGUUCCAAAUUUUGACAGCAACAUUUAGAUUUUCACUGCAAAUGUAAAUGUACAUCGGUUCCAAAUAUUAGAACAUGCUAACAUGUUUACUACUGAUUUGUAUCAGCCUGAAAAAAUAUCUAUUUUUACACAUUAAAUUCAGUUUCAAGUGAUUCAGUUGGAUUGCAAGACUAAGAGUUAGAAAUUAAAAAGAGGGCAGAGGGUCCUACUACCUUGGUAGUGUCUACAGAUACGGACCCGUACCCGUAGCCUGUGGACUACGGACACGGCACUUUCCAUUUGCCAGACAGAUACGGACCCGUACGCGAGUCUCGCGAGUCAAGAAGCUGCUAACCACUGCAAACUGUUGAAAGGUAAGCAGAGGUUAAGGUUAGGGUUAGUGUUAGGGUCAGGUUUAGGGUCCGUACCUGUAGUACCGACGCUACAGGUCCAUACCUCUAGCGUCUACCGGGAGUCACGUGACCAGAUCUCGUGGAUCUGAUUGGCAAAUGGAAAGUGCCGUAUCCGUAGGCCGCAGGCUGCGGGUCCAUACCUCUAGCAACAACCAACUACCUUAACUACUACCAGUGCAGGUUGAUUUGUGGGUAAUGUAGGCACCAGACCUUUAGAAAGAAAAACAAUUAAAAACAUGAUGUCACUAAUUUGAUUUGAGAUAUUUUUGUGAUUUGAGAUAUUGUUUUAUUCAGUGCGAUUUCAAAAAAAUUUUUUUUGACACACAUAUUUUAUAUAAGAGCUUCAGUAAAAAGCAACACGAUUCUCUUUAUGCUUCCUGAAGACAUUCUACCCCUCAUCACUUUAACUAUGUUCUUGGGGUUUACUAGGUCAUUUUCAGUCUUCGUCAGUGACUAAAAAUCAACUUAAAUAAAAGAGGGUUAGAUAAACAAAGAGUUAAAUAAAAAGUGAAGAGAAAGAAAAAGUUGGCUGAACAGGCCACACUUGUUACAAGCUUACAGUCUGUUGAAGGUGUAGUUUAAGCUUUAUGAGACCGCCAAACCCGUUUUCAGUGUGUAUCACUGGUUUUGGAUGAUGUCCAUUUUUGGAUGCCAUUUCAAAACAGACAGCUUUAAGAGACUUCCUGUAAUAUAGUGAAAUAUCACAAAAUGACUAGAUUCCAUUUUUUUAUUCAUCACAUGUACAUACAGUGUUGCAGUGAAUUACAGUGACUGUCCACCAGGUUUAGAAAGACAAAAUGUUAAAAUAGGUAAAAAUGAGUGGUGGGACAUGAUUUAAAAAUAUCUAAUUAAUUAGAGGCUUUGUAAUUAAUAAAUGGCGAUUUAAUCACAUUUCUGUCAAAUAGCAAUAUUUGACACAAUAAGUGAAGUUUUUCAAUUCAAACAAAUGCUGGUUCACGACUGAAUGGAUGAAUAAACAUAAAUAAAUGUGAACUUAAACGACAAA